GAUGAACGCUGGCGGCGUGCCUAAUACAUGCAAGUCGAGCGAACAGACGCUGAUCUUGCUCCUCUGACGUUAGCGGCGGACGGGUGAGUAACACGUGUAUAACCUACCUAUCAGACUGGGAUCACUUCGGGAAACCGGCUCUAAUACCGGAUAAUAUAUUGAACCGCAUGGUUCAAUAGUGAAUGACGGUUUUUCUGUCACUUCUAGAUGGAUCCGCGCCGCAUUAGCUAGUUGGUAAGGUAACGGCUUACCAAGGCAACGAUGCGUAGACGACCUGAGAGGGGGAUCGGCCGCAUUGGAACUGAGACGGGGUCAAGAGUACUAAGGGAGGCAGCAGUAGGGAAUCUUACGCAAUGGGCGAAAGCCUGACGGAGCAACGCCGCGUGAGUGAUGAAGGUCUUAGGAGCGUAAAACUCGGUUAUUAGGGAAGAACAAAUGUGUAAGUAACUAUGCACGUAUUGACGGUACCUAAUCAGAAAGCCACGGCUAACUACGUG
rnacentral:rRNA from 1 species